AUGUCCAAAUUAAAGCUGUGUUUCUCAUUUACAGCUGCGAAUAUUGACUAUGAAGCUUUGAGAAGCUUUACCCGGGAUGACCUGAAGGAUCUCUUUCCAGGCCAUGAAAAUUUCUUCCGGAGAAAGAAGCUUUGGAAUUUCAUAAUCCAACAGGUAAACAGACAUUAUACAACUAAGAAUAUUAUAAUUAAUGCUAGAAUAUAUUAUUGUCUAGCAAUAAUUUGCCUAAUUGUGUAUUUUAUUUUUUAUAUCCCGCAACUGUUAUUGCUUAAGACUGCUGAACAAGAUGCCAACACUUGCCAUCGAAGUGGGAGUAAACCCUUAGGCUUUGUUGUGUCUGAAUGUCAGCCACAAACUUCCACUCCCAUUUCCUACACUGCUCACAAAACAAUGAAAAUGCCAGACCCACCAGAGUAUGUGGUGUAUACAGAUUCAGAACUGGACAUGGUGCGCAGUCAGUACUUUGCAUUGCUUCACAGUGGAAAGGAAAAGGACUGUAAGAUGUCGAAGGAGCUCUGUUGCAGACUUAUAAGGAACACAGUCACCAGCAUGGUUGCAAUCCUCCGUGCUAGUCCCAUGGGGAAAGAAGUAGGAUACCCCUCCAAACUUGAAAUGAGAGCAAUGUCACAGAAGAUUGUCGACUAUUACCCUAUCUUACGUGAUGCUGACACACACAUGCCAUAUGUAAGUCAUUCUUUUGCCACUACAAUAUCUAAAAUUGAGCGAAAUAAAAAAGAAUGUACAAAUAUAUAUUUUAUAUUACCACAGGUGACCAUCUACACCAAACUGUACAAACGACUCCAAAAUAUGAAGACCCCAAGGAGGAAACAGGGUUCCAUGCUGCAGCGAGGCAGGCCCAGGAAGGUUAUUUUCAGCUCAGACAACUUAGACAAUGGAACUGAAGGUGACUUAAGUGGCGAAGCAAGUGGUUCAAGUGACUAUACCAUACUUGACCUCAGCAAGGACAACUCAAAUGCAGAGAAAGCAUCAAAAUUCCAUCUACACUCUACUGUACCAACACAGUCAAACAAUAAUACCCUGGCUUCACCACUAUUAUCUAAGUCAGCCUCGUGCUCUGCACCCAGGGCUGCUAUAGGUCCACCAACUCCAGAUGAUGAUGUUGCAGACCAUGACAGCCUGAAGAUGCAGGCAAGACAUUACAAAACCUUGAGCAACAUGUAUAAGAAACCAAAUGCAAAACCCAACCAAAGUGACAUUGCUCAAAUUUUGGACCUGGAGUUUGAGGCCAGACGAGUUUUUAUUGAUGCAGAUGUUACAAGGGAAGAAGACAGGCCCAGAAAAAUAUUUGAAGCAUACCCGUGCUUCAAAGAUAUUCGAAAUGUAAGCCUAGCUACCUUCAAUUAAAUUCCUUGCUUUUCUCUGGAUAGGGUUCUUGACUAACUGAGCACAACUUUGUCAUAGGCGAUGGAUGAACUGUGUCGCAUCGUUGGUGGCUUCAACUGCAUAUACAUAGAUCAAAUGAAGGGUCGAUGGGCAGAGUUUUGUUCGAAAGUGCAGUUCUAUGGCAUUUGGAAGAAACCUCCUCUCCCCUUGGAUGUACGUGGAGGUAAGUGGCCUUUUCAUACAUUAAAUCCAUACAUCAGAUAUGUUCAGAGUACUUUAUUAAGAUACUUUUCUCUGUCCACAGUGGAGUUUACUGUCACUCUCUUCAAUACACUUCCAUCUCUUUUUCCUUCACCAACUACACCACCAAAGCGGCUGGGAAGUGCCAGUGAGGCUCUCCUUCAUAUCCUCAAGGUGAGAACAGCUGUUAGCAAUACCAGCCACUGUAACUUGCACUCCAUUUAAUUGUAUUAUUAUUAUUAUCAUUAUCAUUAUAUUAUUUUGCUUUUCAUGCUUAAUAAGAGAGGGUCAAAGUUCAAUUCAGCAGGGAUUAAAUUACUCCUUCUUCAGGAUUUCUAAAUUGUCAUUUAAAACCUACUCCAGAGAGGCAGCGCAGAGCAAAAGCACAUUGCAGUUGGGAUACAAGUAAAAUUGGUAAAAUUAUUUAUAUAAGGCCUUCAAAAACUAGAAUAUGUAACAAAGUUUUUAAAAAAUGUUUAAAAAAACCAUUGAGAAAAAAAGCACAAAUAUACAUGAUAAAAAGGCUGUAAACUAGAGAAAAUUCAUGCUCAUUUCCAAAAUUUCAUUUAUUUCUUCUAUUCCAACAGUAAAUCAUUCUAAACAUUCUUGAUUUUGCUUUUUGUGUCUUAAGCUGUUUGGAUGCACAGCAACCCUUUCAUUUAAAAUCUUGAAGAAUUUGUCCUUUUUUUGUGCUUUUCUAGCCAGGUGAAGAUGCUAUGCUAUACCUGGAGAAGCGGCCUCUCUCCUCCCCAGUGCUGCUUUUUGAUGGGACAACCAGCAUUGUUGCUGUAGGAAACAUACCAGUGACCACUCUCCCCUUGGAGGAUUUCUGGGAAGGAAUGUUGGUGUUGAUGGCAUAUUACUACACCUUGCACUUAACAUACCCGAAAUGUGUUGCAACGGUCCUCUCUGUCGUACAGACUGAGGUAAUCACUGAUGCCAUCCAUGAUCAAGAUGCCCCUUGUGCAUACAAGAAAGCAAUAGCUGAGUGGAAGUCAUUCUUUGAAAAAUAGGUGAAUACCAAGCAGAAUUUUAUCAGGUCAUUUGCUGUUUGUUUAGUUUUGUAGUACGUUUGUACAACUUUGUUCCUAAUUUGCCUAGCAAUGUCCUGAGAAACUGCUUUACUUAUAAUGCCUUACAAAUGAAAGUUGUUUUUUUUUUUCUUAAUGACACUUUACCUGAGGCAUGUAAAGUUUUAAAUCAGUAAUGCCGUUAUUUACAACAUUGUGAGAUUAUGUGACUCUCACAAAAGUUUAAGGCCAAAAAUGUAAUUUUUUUUCUCUGUUUAGGCCUUUUAAAGGGUUGAUUUAGACUUUAGAGAUUGUGCAGCAGCCCUAUAUUGUUUUAAAAAAGGGUUUUGUUCUCAUGAGAGGAAUAAAUGUUGACAUAUAUCACUCUUGUCCUGGCUGU
ensembl:lncRNA